rnacentral:rRNA from 1 species
AUUGAACGCUGGCGGCAGGCCUAACACAUGCAAGUCGAACGGUAACAGGAAGCAGCUUGCUGCUUUGCUGACGAGUGGCGGACGGGUGAGUAAUGUCUGGGAAACUGCCUGAUGGAGGGGGAUAACUACUGGAAACGGUAGCUAAUACCGCAUAACGUCGCAAGACCAAAGAGGGGGACCUUAGGGCCUCUUGCCAUCGGAUGUGCCCAGAUGGGAUUAGCUAGUAGGUGGGGUAACGGCUCACCUAGGCGACGAUCCCUAGCUGGUCUGAGAGGAUGACCAGCCACACUGGAACUGAGACACGGUCCAGACUCCUACGGGAGGCAGCAGUGGGGAAUAUUGCACAAUGGGCGCAAGCCUGAUGCAGCCAUGCCGCGUGUAUGAAGAAGGCCUUCGGGUUGUAAAGUACUUUCAGCGGGGAGGAAGGGAGUAAAGUUAAUACCUUUGCUCAUGGACGUUACCCGCAGAAGAAGCACCGGCUAACUCCG